rnacentral:rRNA from 1 species
CCUACGGGGGGCUGCAGUGGGGAAUAUUGGUCAAUGGGGGGAACCCUGAUCCAGCCAUGCCGCGUGUGUGAAGAAGGCCCUCGGGUUGUAAAGCACUUUCAGUGAGGAAGAACGCCUGGUGGUUAAUACCCAUCAGGAAAGACAUCACUCACAGAAGAAGCACCGGCUAACUCCGUGCCAGCAGCCGCGGUAAUACGGAGGGUGCGAGCGUUAAUCGGAAUUACUGGGCGUAAAGCGCGCGUAGGUGGCUUGAUAAGCCGGUUGUGAAAGCCCCGGGCUCAACCUGGGAACGGCAUCCGGAACUGUCAAGCUAGAGUGCAGGAGAGGAAGGUAGAAUUCCCGGUGUAGCGGUGAAAUGCGUAGAGAUCGGGAGGAAUACCAGUGGCGAAGGCGGCCUUCUGGACUGACACUGACACUGAGGUGCGAAAGCGUGGGUAGCAAACAGGAUUAGAUACCCUAGUAGUC